UCUGUGCACUGGGCUAUGGGUUUGCAGAUCACAAGAGGGAUUAAGAAUAAAGUGAGAUCCAAAAUAUAAGCCUCUACAUACCAAUGUUCAGUACAGGAGAAAAAACAAACAAACAAACAAAAAAUUUUCAUAAGCUCCAAAAGAGUUUAAGGACUAUUAGAAUUAGACAUGCAUAUUCAGGAGCACAAGACUCCAGUAUCACUGAAGAGCUUUUAGAAGCUCUUAGACGUAUUUACUGGUAUUUUUUUUUAAUUAAAACACUCAGGUAUACCAUAACUUAAAUUAUUUUUCUGCCCAGGAUAUAAUUUUAAUAUCUGUACCCUUCUUAUAUCUGCUUUAAUCAUGGUUUGCAAGGACUUUACAAAGGCUACUUGACAUUUUACAUGCAUAAAUCUUAUCCAUAACUUUUGAGCAAACCUGAGAUGUUUUUGAUGAGAAGCAAAAAAAGGAGGGGGAAAGCCAGUUUUCAGAUCUUUUAGAUUCUCUUAGUAUCAGACAGCAUCUGUCCAAUGUAGUUUUAUCCAAAUGAGAAUACAUUGAUGUAAAUUGGGUGAAAUUCCACAUUCCAAACUGCAGGGAGCAUAUAGUAAUGCAAUAGCAGCUAUGUUUUUAUGGGUUGUUUUAAAUUUAAUUUUAAGCUGAAUUUGAACAAAUAAUAUUAAGCUCCUUUUCUACCCUAUUUUUUAAAUUGUAUAACCAAUAUUACAAAAAAGAACAACUUGAAACAUCCUAUAAUCAUGCUGCAAAAUUAUUUUGUUUACAGAUCAUUCAGUAAUAAAGACUGAACUUUGGCCAUGGUAAAAAUAGCAAUUAAUUGACUCUUAUUUUGAGUCACAUGGUAGCUUAUGGAGGAAAUUAUAUGUUUGUGUGACUGAGAAUAAUGAAUAAUACACAAAGGAAUUAAUGCAAUUAUAUAUCUAGUGUCCUGUACAAAGAACCAGUGAAGGCACAAGAUCCUUGUGUUAGAAAAGCUACCUAAAAUGCCAUCUGCAGUUGCCAGAUGCUGGGGGGAAAUAUUAUUGCAGCCAGAAACUCCAAAAACAAAUCUAGCCCUGAAGCAUGAGUACAAAAAUGAAACAAAACAGACAUUGCUUGUUGGAAGAACAUGUAUUUUUAAGCGAGAUGUAGAUGCAAAUAUCGAAAUUUGGAGAAUGAAAUCAAGAUGGAAACACUGUGUGGGGUUCCAGUCCCAUCCUGGCAUGCAAGGAAUCCAACUGCAGUAUGUUGUAUUGCUUUUCUUUCCCCAUCUCAGAGCUGUCCAGGCUCUGGCUACUUAUUUCAACCUAUCCAUCUUGAACCAGAUAGCUGAUCUGGCUGCACACAUAUAUAUACAGAGGUUAGUCUGCAGAUGUUCACUGAUUUUUUACACAAUCCAAAUCACCCUGUCCCCAAACACUAAUUUCAGUAUUAUUUUCUAAUACCUUCUGUCCUUCCUAGAUCUUACAAUGGAGCCCCACAUCUACUAAUUUGACUAUAAACUGGCAAUUUGAAGCCACCACAAGAUAACCAAACACUGGAUAAUCAGUGACAAGGGAAACCUUUAAUUCAGAGAAGUUGAUGCUAGAGGCCUCAGGCUGUCUCUCCUACCACCAUACUGUUCAUUUUGGCAUUGAAUGGAAAAAGGUCCUGGCUUCUCUCUCUAAAUGAAGGGAAUCGAGAGUUACGUCACAAAGGCUCAACAAAAAGAAGGCUACAAAAUUUUAAGCUAUGUUUUGAAGAUCUUGUUUGCUAUAACAAAGGGUUGGACACAGAUGUGUUCCCACUCUGCUCCCAAGAUUCUUUACAUAAAGUCAAAGACAUAAGUCCACCAGGGCUAUUAGAUAGAAUGAUCCAUAUUCUGACUGAGGUAGUCCUUAACCUAGUAUCUUCUGGAAGUUUGGAGGAUGUACAAGAGAUGGGAUCAGUCUACUACAAAAACUUUAGUGUUUCAGGUACACUUUUCCUUAAAUGUCUACUGCUGGCCUAGAAGGUGGUAUGGGAUUUAUUCAGCCUUUGACAGGCUGAGGUGACAGGUCACAUGGUGACAUUUAAAUUUUCAUAUACUUGACUAUACCAAAUGCUGCUUAAUGACCAGAGUUAUGAAAAUAUAAAACCAAGCUGGUGACAGAGGCUCAAAAGAGCUCUCCCUUGACUCCAUUUCUCCUGUCAUACAUAGUGAAUACUAGGGAUUGUUUCUUAAAACAGGAGCUUGGGAAGAAGCUACAGUAAGUUUUAGAGAUUAAAAAAAAUUCUGGGAUGAGAACAGGGGUUUUAUGAGAACCAAGUAAAUUAAAUUCAACAAUAAAGAACUACUGUGGGAGGGGGUGUGGUUGAUGGCCUCCCUGCAUUACCCUGGGAGGCAACAGAUGUUUAGUUUCCCGCCUCCCCCAGUUGUCAGUUAUUUGUUAUCCCUUCCCCCUGUCCCUGUCAAUCACUGUGUACUCCUUCCCUCAGUUCUAGAAAGUUCUAAGUUCUUUGUAUCCCCAUUGGUUCUCCCCCCGAAACCACUCCUUCCCUCUAUCCCAGUUGGCCGUUGCCGUGUCACUCGUUACUGACUCCACCCUCAACCCCUCACCCGGUUGGAUGCUCUGUACCCUGACCCUCCUUCCCUGUUACAGUUAUAAUCCCUGCCCCGCCCCUGCUUCGGGGCUCUCAGAGCUGGCUGUCCUUCUGAGUGGCUGUGUCCCUUUGCUACCCACCUCACCUUCCCUGCUAGAAGCCCUCAGGAAUAAAGCCUCUUGAGAGUCACCUGCCUGGUGGAAGCCUCUUCUCUCUACAACCAUCGACGGCUCCUGAGGUCCCGACCCUGUGGCUAUCCGGAGCGGUCAGAGGACCUAGGAACGCGUCAAACUACUGAAUCAUAUAAAAAGCGUGCUACACAAAGUACAAGGCCAAGUUGAUGCAGGUGUGAUUGGACAGCUGCCUAAAGGCCUUGCAGCAUGAGUUGAAUGCAGCUGGUUCAGGAAAUUCACUGUAAGCUUGGAAGGGUUGUGGUGCCACAGAAAGAUUUGUGUGCUCUUCCCAGCCACUGUGGUCAAUGAAAUGUGCAGCUGAGGAACGGCAGAACUUCAGUCUCCAUCCUCACAUAAGCCAGACCAUUCAGCUGCAUUUGGAAGAAUAUAAAGCGAUAUGAGUGCUGUGACAGACACCAGUAUGUCCUGAACUCACAUUCAUUGAUUUUAACCAGUUUGUUCCUUUCAUAAAAUAAAUACAUACAAAACCUGCAGCA